UAACUCUUCAAUUGUGCGAAGGCGGCGAAGUUGGCGAAGGCGAUAAUGUAUCGGCGCCGGUGAUGACGACGACGACAUACUAAUGUCGACAACGGGGAUAAAUGAGAAAGUAUAUUACAAAAUAAAUAUUUAAAAAUAUUUUAAAAAAUAUAGAUAAAAAUUAAAAAAUAUAUUACUAAAAAAUAUAUACUUUAUAUUUGAGAAACGUAUAUGUGAAAAUAAGAAAAAAUAAAAAAAUAUAUACUAAAAUAGUAUAAAGGCACAUUAAAAAAAAGAAAAAUUUUCAUAUGGGAUUAAAAUACCUCUUUAAUUAUGAUGAAAGGCGGCGAACACGAAAAUAUAUCGGCAUAGGCAAUGAUGAUAAGUAGGACUAUGACGAUAUACCGCUGUGAUAAAUGAGGAAAUAUGUUGCUAAAAAAAUAUUUGAAAAAAUAUAGAUAAAAAGAAAAAUUAAUACUACUAAAAGAUAAAUGAGAAAAUACCAAAAAAGAUAUGCUAACAAAAAAAAUAUGAUGUAUAUAUUGUGUAAUAAAUAUUAUUAUGAAAUAAGAUUGGGUAGUGUAGAUAUUAUAUGCGAGGGUAUUAAGAUAUAUUCUAUAUUUGAGAAUGUGGAGAGUAUUUUUGUGGGUAUUAUUUAAAUAUUGAAUAUUUUGCUAAAAAAAUUUAAAAUUAUAUUUAAUUAACGAUUUAGUUUUGAUUGGGCGGGUAUUAAUUUUUUUUAGAAAUAUUCUAUGCUUUUAUGAUACAUUAUUUAAAUACUGAAUAUUUUACUAAAAAUAUUUAAAAUUAUAUUUAAUUAACGAUUAACGAUUUAUUUUGAUUUUGGGAUACUAAAAUUUUUUUAGCAAUAUUUAACGCCUCUAUGGCGCGCCAAAUUUUAAUACUCGUCAAAAUUAAAUCUACUAUCUUAUGUGAGGAAAAAUCUACUAUUAUGAAUUAAAAUUCAAAUUAUCAAAUUCGGGGCUAUUAAAUUUUAGCGGGCAUUACAAAUUUAAAAUUUAAUUUUGAAUAUUACGUCAUGGGCAGGUAUUACGUUACGUGAUUAGCGGAGGUAUUACGUGAUUGUCGGGUAUUACGUUAGAUAAGAGGUAAAUUUAGUUUUACGUAUUAUAUGAUUGGUGGGUAGAAAAAAAAGAAUUUUGAGAAACACGGCUUAAAUGGGAGAUAACGGAUAUGGAGGAUAUUUUUGUCAAUAAAAAUGGCAAAUACUUUUAUUUUUAUUCAUUGGAUGAGAUCAGAAGUAACGAAUAUGGAAGGUAUUUUUAUCAACAAAAAUGAUAGAUAAUUUUAUUUUUAUUCAUCGGAUGAGAUCCAAUGGCGAAAACUUAAAAUCUAUAUUUAAGAAUAAAUUAUUAUUUAAAGAUUUAUUUAAAAUGGAUAAGAUAUAUUCUAUAUUUGAGAACGCAGAGAAUAUUUUGGUGGGUAUUAUUUAAACAUUGAAUAUUUUGUUAAAAAUAUUUAAAAUUAUAUUGAAUUAAUGAUUUAGUUUUGAUUGGGCGGGUAUUAAUUUUUUUUAGAAAUAUUCUACACUUUUAUGAUGCAUUAUUUAAAUAAUAAAUAUUUUGCUAAGAAUAUUUCAAAUUAUAUUUAAUUAAUUAUUUAGUUUUGAUUUGAGGGUACUAAAAUUUUUUUAACAAUAUUUAACGCUUUUAUGACGCUCCAAAUUUUAAUACUCGUCAAAAUUAAAUCUACUAUCUUAUGUAAGAAAAAAUCUACUAUCAUAAAUUAAAAUUUAAAUUAUCAAAUUCGCAGGUAUUAAAUUUUGGUGGGAAUUACAAAUUACAAAUUUAAUUUUGAAUACUACGUGUUGGCAGAUAUUAUGUUUGAGAAUAAAAAAUAUUUGAGAAAACACGUGGAUAGCAAAUAAAUUUAAUUUUACGUAUUACGUGAUUAGCGGAUGGUAUUACGAGAUUGGUGGGUAUUACGUUUUAGAUAAGAGAUAAAUUUAGUUUUACGUAUUACAUUAUUGGUGGAUAGAAA
rnacentral:lncRNA from 1 species